rnacentral:lncRNA from 1 species
UUUUUUCUCUCCUUUUGCAUUUGUUGCUUCACAACACGGUUAUUAUAGCUUGCUCUGAAUUUCAAUCAGAUUUGAAAAGAAUGACGCUGAGUUUAAAUUUGGGUCCUCUUGACACCAAGAAAACCAACGCAUGGCUUCUCCCUCCAUGCUCAUGAAAUCCCAUUGCAAAUGAUCGAGUUUUUGAGUUUCUUGCACCUCAAAAAUCUUU